AUUUUUUUUCUUCUGCAACUAUCAUGGGCCAAUAUGGCCACAACUCGUAAUGUAUAACUAUAAGUGGGCCACAACUCUGUAUCAAUGAAACAUCGUUCUUAAAACAUGAAUACAUAUGGGCCAUCAAGGCCUCUGACAUACUGUACAAAAUAAACCUCUGUCUAUAAAGUCUUUAAGAUUAUUUGACAUCACAUGGGACAGGGUACCGGCCUACCCAUAAGUCUGUAGUAAAACUCUGACACAAUGACUCAUAGACUCGGCUGCACUCCGAAUGAGGUGGAGUCUUUCCGAUCCUUUGCUGAAUGCCAAUCUUGUAUACUACGAGGGCUCAUCAAACUGAUUAUUUAUACCGGCAGGCAUGAAUACAGCGUCCCUAACAAAAAAAAAUAUUAGUACGAAUAAUGUACUGAGUAUGUAAGGCAAAACUGAAACAUAUCCAUAAGUCAACAUUAAUUAAAAAGAUAUAAGAAUCAACCUGAAUCUCUGAAGUGCUAUCGUAUAUGCAUACUUAGUAUACUUAUAUAUAUAAUGCUUCUCUUUGAGACUAUUAUCCAUAUCCUAUGAUGCAUGACUGCCCAACUAAUUACUGGUAACUGUCUGACCGGCCGUAGCGCGGUGAUAAAUGCCUGACUGCCCUACGGCAGUAGCUCAAUGGUAAAUGCAUGAAGAUGAAUGUACAUGUAUCACUAUAUUAUAACCAUUAACAUCUCUAUCAUAUACCUCAUUAGUGACUUAGGGACAUACUUAGACAUGCUUGAAUAUCAUUUUACAGGAAUAACUAACAUAGACAUCCUUAAUUGCUAAGCGUAGAACCACUUAUGGAAUAGCAUUACGUUUGUGUAUCGUUACUUCGAUCACACCCAAAGAAGAAAGGAUUAGCCUUAACAUACCUGAGCCGGUUCUCUUGACAAUCCAUCUAAUACACAUCAAUUGGGACAAUAUGUAACGGCGGAUCGAAGUAGGGAGAAAUCUGUGUGGUAUUCUUGAGAAAGAUUGUACCGUACUCCCUUAGAAUCAAAAUCUCACGUUGCGAUAAUAUUAGGUAGGCUUUGUAUGAAAUCUUUGAAUCAAUGCCGUUGCUAUUACAACAUUAGCUUUGCUGAAGCUUUAAGAAUGAGAAUUCCAUCUGUUAGCUAUGCAUUUCUCCUUAAUGAAUUUAGAGGGGGGUGAUUGUAUCAUAGUUAAGAGUCACCAAUUUGAGCAAGG
rnacentral:lncRNA from 1 species